UUGCUCUCCCUCAGAGCGCAAAGAUGAAAGAUCAUCUGGCAGUUUCACCUUUUGUUGGCUCCACGACCUUACCAUCAGCCUCCCUGCUUAAAAACAACAACCCUAAUUUUUAUUUUCGUCCCUAUAGCUCUAGCUCUUCUCUUUGACUCCGGGUCCCUUGCAUUUGAGGUAUAUAUAACCAAUGAUUUUGCUUAAUUAUGUGGGUUUCAUUGAUUUAUUUUUAUUCCCUAUUUUUGUGUUUUCAUUCAUUCUGUGUUGAUGCUUUUUCCAAGAUCUGUUGUCCUUGGUGUAUAGCUUCUUCGAAAAUUAAGAUUUGGCUUUUGUUUCUCAACAAGGAGUAGGGAUUUCCUUCAAUCAUGAAUUCGGAUAAGAAGAUAAUCUGCUGCAUAAUCUCAAAAGCCUGUGCAUGCAGCAGCCAACCAGCAGGGAUUUCUCUGUUUUAUUCUAUAUAUAUAUAAUUUCAAUGCGCUUGAUUAAACCCUUUACUGUUGGUUAGGGUUUUGGGAAAUCAUCAUCAAUAUAAUCCUCAACAUGGGGGCAUGAUUACUAGAAUUUUAAAGAGUACAAAGACUGAAAGGAACACGUUUUUUGAAGGUGGACAGCCAAUUAUGAAAAAAUAUAAUGUAGUUUGCUCAAGGUUGUUUGUUCAGUUCAGUGUCUCUUUCAUUUUUGCAACUACGUCAGACAUUGGAACUCAUCUGUAUAGUCAGGACCAGCUUCAUUUGCUUCCCAUUACUGUAGUUGGCCGUUACAGUUACCUUUUUCUUUUUCUUCCUUUAGUUUUUAUCCCUCUCUGUCUUGUUCUCCUACUUCUCCUUCAUGUAUGAAGUAUAACUAAAUACACUGCUAAUCUGCUUAUUAUUGUACUAAACAGUGAUAUUAGGCAUGCACUACUGCACCAAUAUUCUCCAGUCUUGGCAAAAUUACACCAUUAAUUUAUCUUUUUACAAUUAAUUGCAGUGUUUCAAUUAAAUAAUCGACCCUAAUUCAUUAAUCUUCUUCUUCUUCUUCUUGUUCAAUCCAGUUAUCAAUUAUUAGGUGAAGUUGAGUUAAGCCUGAGGUGGCCAUAUUCGUAGCUCUGGCCUCUCGGGUUUCUUUCGUCUUUGUAAUUUGGUGGGAAGCCGAGUGUAGCCAAGAUUCCCUGUAGCUUUCCUUUUCAUAUAUAUGCAUGCUUACCC
rnacentral:lncRNA from 1 species